UUAUUGUAAACAAUUUGUGGAU
rnacentral:snRNA from 1 species